rnacentral:lncRNA from 1 species
CAUUCAGGGGUGUGAUGUGAGAGAGAUUUUUUGAGAGGUUUAUUGGAAUCAACCGUUAUCCUAAGGGUAAAUUGCUUCUAACCCCUCUAAUUUUAUGUAAUGCCAAAUGAAUCCCCUAAAUUUUCAAAAUAGCCACAUAACUCUCUUAUGAUUUUAUGUAAAGUAAAAAAAAGAACGGAAUGCACAAUCAGUUAUAGCAUUUAUAUCAAAUGCACUCUAAAAGCACGUGCAAUAAAAUCUUG